AUGGGAAACAGAAUGGGAUCCUCCCGCUCCAAAGCGUGGCAGCACACCGCUCCGUCAGGGACUCCGGCCAGCUCUAAAGCGUGGCAGCACACCCCUCCGUCAGGGACCCCGGCCAGCUACAUGCUCACCCACUGUGGGUCACACGCUUGUGCGUUUCUGAGCUCCUGGGUAUAUUACACCAGGAGUAAUGUAGAGCUCCAGUGGCCGCAGUGGGGAUCGUUUGAACUUCCGAAGCUUGCUUUCCUCAGAAAUAAGUUAGGAGAGCUUGGCUGUGUGGUCCAGCCUUCAGAAUGGGAUGCGUUUUUCAAGUGGUAUCUGGAAGCUUCAAGCCGUGCUCAGCACGCAGAGGUUGCCUCCCUGCAAGGCACCAUCUCCCAGCUUGCUGAUGCAAACAGACAACUCAGAAAGGACAUCAAGGACUUGGAAGCCAAGGUUCACUGCUCCCUGGAACGUCCUCCUCCCUCCUCGUGCACCACCUCUGCUUCGGAACCUUCCGAUGACAUGGCUAAACCCAAAGCCUCCUGUGUCCCCUGGACUAAAGAUGAGCUCCGAACCAUCGUCAGGGCCUUCCCAAAAGUCACUGAAGAUCCUCAACGAUUUGCUGAUGAGUUCAGCGUCAUAAUCCGGGUCUAUCAGCCCGAUGUCACUCAUCUCCUCCAGCUAGUCCGCAUGCUUGUUGACGAAAGUCAAGCCAAGCACUGGAUGGCUAAAGCUAACUGGGCCCACCUGGAGCUGAAUAGCCAGCAGCAGACACCCCAGUCCCCGUCCCAGGCUCAAAGUCUGGCCAGGAGUCUCCAUAGAGCUAUCUUGGAGGCAUUCCCUAAACGUGCAGAUUGGAAUAAGAUUUAUGCUUGUGUCCAAGAACCCAAUGAGCCAGUUUAUCAAUACUACAUUCGAUUCGAGCUUGUCUUUAAGGAAAACUCUGCAUUGCCUGUGAGUUCUGUUUCUUACAGCCCACUCUUUAACUCUGCAUUUGUGGGUAACCUAACCCCAGAGCUGUCCCUGCUUGUUAAAAGAUCUUCCAUGGAAUGGCUAACCAUGUCCACUGAGUGUCUGGUAGGUCAGGUCAGUAAGUUAGCCCGCUCCCUGGAGUACACCAAUGCACAGAAGUCUGCCGAUACCCUCAGUCACUUGCUGCAGCAGCUGAAAGCUCCCCAGAGGGUUCCUCCUGGCCUCUGCCAUUACUGUAAAAAACCAGGCCACUGGAAGAAAGAUUGCUACAAGCUGAAGAGAGCUAAGCAGGCCCUCCCUCAAAACCCUCAAUUUUGGGUAAUGGAUGUGUUUUCUGAGUCGGGGCCCCGGGGCAUCACGGGAGCUCCUGUCAGUCCUAGGCUGUCGUGGGUCGAGAGCUCAGAUUCAGAAUGA
rnacentral:lncRNA from 1 species